GAUGAACGCUGGCGGCGUGCUUAACACAUGCAAGUCGAACGGAAAGGCUCCUGCUUGCCGGGGUACUCGAGUGGCGAACGGGUGAGUAACACGUGGGUGAUCUGCCCUGCACUUCGGGAUAAGCCUGGGAAACUGGGUCUAAUACCGGAUAGGACCACAUUUUGGAUGGUGUGGUGGAAAGUUUUUCGGUGUGGGAUGAGCUUGCGGCCUAUCAGCUUGUUGGUGGGGUAAUGGCCUACCAAGGCGUCGACGGGUAGCCGGCCUGAGAGGGUGUACGGCCACAUUGGGACUGAGAUACGGCCCAGACUCCUACGGGAGGCAGCAGUGGGGAAUAUUGCACAAUGGGCGCAAGCCUGAUGCAGCGACGCCGCGUGGGGGAUGACGGCCUUCGGGUGGUAAACUCCUUUCGCUAGGGACGAAGCGCAAGUGACGGUACCUGGAGAAGAAGCACCGGCUAACUACGU
rnacentral:rRNA from 1 species